rnacentral:tRNA from 3 species
CGGAAAUAGCUCAGUUGGUAGAGCAUCAGCUUCCCAAGCUGAGGGUCGCGAGUUCGAGCCUCGUUUUCC